rnacentral:rRNA from 1 species
GAUGAACGCUAGCGAUAGGCUUAACACAUGCAAGUCGAGGGGCAGCAUGGUCUUAGCUUGCUAAGACUGAUGGCGACCGGCGCACGGGUGCGUAACGCGUAUGCAACUUGCCUCACAGAGGGGGAUAACCCGUCGAAAGACGGACUAAUACCGCGUACACUUGGGAUAGGGCAUCCUGACCCAAGGAAAUGAAAUUCGCUGUGAGAUAGGCAUGCGUCCCAUUAGCUAGUUGGUGAGGUAACGGCUCACCAAGGCGACGAUGGGUAGGGGAACUGAGAGGUUGAACCCCCACACUGGUACUGAGACACGGACCAGACUCCUACGGGAGGCAGCAGUGAGGAAUAUUGAUCAAUGGGCGAGAGCCUGAACCAGCCAAGUCGCGUGAAGGAUGACUGUCUUAUGGAUUGUAAACUUCUUUUAUACGGGAAUAACAAGAGCCACGUGUGGCUCCCUGCAUGUACCGGAUGAAUAAGCAUCGGCUAACUCCGUG